rnacentral:misc_RNA from 1 species
AAGUCGUAACAAGGUUUCCGUAGGUGAACCUGCGGAAGGAUCAUUAACGAGUUCUGACUUGGGUUGUCGCUGGUCCUCCGGGACAUGUGCACACUCAAUGCUCAUCCACUCACCCCUGUGCACACUUGUAGUUUCUCGGUUCCUAAAGGAUGUUUGAAGGCCUCGCGGCUGAAUACAUUCUGCGGGAAUUGGGGGAUUACGUUUUUAUACACGCAUAAAGUCUAGAAUGUUAUCUUUGCUAUAAAACGCAUUAAAUACAACUUUCAACAACGGAUCUCUUGGCUCUC